GUGCUCGUUUUGGCAGCACAUGUACUAAAAUUAGAAUGAUAAAGAGAGGAUUAGUAUGGCCCCCGCACAACGAUGACAUGCAAGCUAAUGAAGUGUUCCUUAUUUUU